rnacentral:lncRNA from 1 species
AAAUCAUGCUUUGAGACUGCUAGCUUUGAGAAGAGCCUGCCCAAAGCGAAUUUAAUUGAGAGCUACUCAGGAGGCUGAGGCAGGAGAAUUGCCUGAACCCAGGAGGCGGAGGUUGUGGUGAGCCGAGAUCGCGCCAUUGCACUCCAGCCUGGGUAACAAGAGCGAAACUCCGUCUCAAAAAAAAAAAAAAAAAAAAAAAAACAAAAGGAACCCUCUAUAGCCUGCCUUUGUCUACUUCUCCAUUUCCUGCCUCUCUUCUUCUUGCUCAUUCUAUUGCAGACAUACUAGCUUUCUUCUGUCCUUUUAACUUGCCGUGUU